CUUGCAGGCCACGGUGACUGGCUCCAUGCUGCCUUGGGAAGCCCUACAUGACCUCUACAUGGUCCUUCUUCAGUAUGUGAAGUACAGAGGCAACACCAGGACAUUUUGAAGGGCAAAAGAAGGUUCAAUGGGGCAAUUUCCAAGGCAUCUUGCUCCACUGCUGGACCUGAUACUGGGGAGCUGACCAUCUAGCAGGUGACGUAUGGAUGGAUGAAGCAUCUUAGGACAUCUAAAGAAAGAGAUCACUCCUCCAUACUGAUCCUAAAGUUGACCUCCAGAUAACAUUCUGUCACAUGCAUGUGCACCAGAGAUGGGGAGAACACACAGAAUGGGAAGAACCACAACUGUUUAGGUGCAUGAAUUCUACAAUUUGUAAAAACUCAUUGUUUUUCACCUAGUAUAUGUAAGAAUUGAAUAAUAACACAGAGAAAUAAAUUCUAGCAUUAAAGAAUAAACCAGAAAUCUCCUUAAAGGAACACAAGUAACAAAGCCUGGCAGGGGUGGGAAACAGCAGAAAUUACCACAUUUUGCUUGGAUCUUGAAAAUUGUGAAUUCUCAGUGAAGUCCAAUUUUCACUUUUUAAUAAUGGAGCUCUAUAACAUCUUAAAACUCUGGGUUUAUGUAUUUUUAUUAUCAACUCUAUAAAUUCAAUAAAGAAGUGGAGUAAAGGUUCAGGACAAGAAGAAGGAGAAAAGAACAGUUAAAAAUUUGGGAAAUACUAGCACUUCAUUCUUUACCAAGUUGUCACUCUAUCACUGCAAGCGUGAGGAUUGGUGAAAAGUAUUAAGCAGACUAAGAUUGCACCCCAGAGAGCCCAGGCUUAUACAACCAGCACACUUCCCCCACUAACUGACAUACUCAACUAAUAACUACUGAAUGUUGCCCAUUGGCCAGCCGCAUCCAACCCUUAUCCCACUGCAUCCUCAAAUCUGCCACCUUACAGAUGAAGAAAUGGAAAUGUAAACAAGUUAGGUGACUAAGAACAGAGUGUAAUGAGCAUCGUGGUUGACUCCCUGCCAUUCAUGCACAUCAUGCUAAUAUAAAGUAAUCAGGCUACAUGAUCCCCAGCCAAGAAUGAGUUCAAGAAUAUUCCUGGGACAUAUUUCUGCUGGAAGUCUCCCAGGGAAAGUUUCCCUUUCCUGAGAGCGGGCUCCCCAGUCAGAGAUCUCUCUCUUCUGGUCUAGCAACAAUGUGAAUGCAUUCUGCUCCCGAGGAGAAUAACACCGAGGAUGGCAAACAGGCAAGGGGGAAAGAUGGCAAGCGUCCUUGAUGACACCACUUAGCUGCCAACCCCACCAACCCACAGCUAGCCCAACUUCUGGACUUCGUGUUAUGAGAUAAUAAAUUUCCUAAGCAUCUGUGCUGGGAUGAGUCAGGUUCUCUUUCAUUUUCAUCAAAAGCAUCUUGGCUGAUACAAAAAGCCAGGAUCCAAACCCAGGUCUGUGUGAUUACCAAGAACCUACUCAUUCCAAGAGUUUUCUAGUCUGUCUCUGGUAUGCAUAAAGUCCCGAAGGGUUUCCAAGUCAACAGCUGCAGUGGUCCUGGAGUCAGACAGACUUGGACUAAAUCCCAGAUCUGCCACUAAUUAGCUGGGUGAUUGUGGGCAAAUUACCUCUCCUUUUUAUGCCUGUUACCUCAUCUGAAAAAUGGGGAUAAUCAUUGCACCUGCCACAAAGAGCUGUUUGAAGACCAAAGGAAAUUUCCACACAGUCGGUGCUCAGUGAUCAUUAGUUUUCAUGAGCAGGGGAACUGAAUGAUUUUUGGUGGCUAGAUUCUUUUGAUCAGAAUCUUUGUAAUGUUUUGAAUAGAGUAACAUUUACUUUCUCCUGACAUAUCACAUCUAUGCCAAAAUAAAAAUACAAUGUGGCCAGGCGCGGUGGCUCACACCUGUAAUCCCAGCACUUUGGGAGGCCGAGGUGGGUGGAUCACCUGAGGUCAGGAGUUCGAGACCAGCCUGGCCAACAUGGUGAAACCCCGUCUCCAUUAAAAAUACAAAAAUUUGUUGGGCAUGGUGGCAAUCUGUAAUCCCAGCUACUCAGGAGGCUGAGGCAGGAGAAUCGCUUGAACCUGGGAGGCGGAGGUUGCAGUGAGCCGAGAUUGUGCUAUUGCACUCCAGCUGGGCAACAGAGCGAGGCUCCAUCUCAAAAAAAAAAAAAAUGUUUUCUUAAUGUUUGGCCUUGUCUGAGCUUUUGGCUUUUUAAUUAGAAAAUGCCUCAUUCCUUAUUGAAAGAACACAUCAUUCAAAAAAAUAUUUGAAAUGUCACCCAUAGUAUCAUGCUACCUAAUUAAACAAUUUUUGUUUUUUGAUAUUACCUCUGGCAUGUAAAAUGCACAUACCUACAAUUAUAGUGAACAUACUGUUUUGCUUCCUAUUAUUUUCACUUAAAUUAUAGCAUAUAUUGACAUGUUCUUUAUAAUUAUUUGCCUUAAUAGCUUUAUAAGAUUGAUAUAAUUUACUAUAUAUUCCCCCAGGAUUAAUAUUUUUGACAUAAAUUGCUUUCUUAUUUUUUGUCUUAGAGAUGACGCAGCAGUGAUCAUUUUGGCUUAUAUAUUUUGUUUUCUGUGCAUUAUUUCCUAAAGAGAAAAUUCCUAGGCAUGGAAUUCUGGGUCUAGGGCUAUGAAUUGUCUUAGUGCCUCCUGCUACAUAAUUCUCUCCAAAAGGAAUGUUCCAGUUUGUCAUGUGAACUUAAUCUUAACUACUCAAGACUGAAAUUGAGUUCCUCUAAGCAGUUACUUGGUUUGAAAUAUCACAUGAGCCUUUAUACUUUGGGGAAAUCAGUAUUUUGAUUGCCUUGCCAUGGGUUUCAAGCUUUAUAAGUGAAAUUCUGCUUUCUUCACUUGAGGGACUAAAAGUUCCCUCUUGAACCAAUCAGUCUUAUUUUUCAAAGGCUGUGAACUUUUAAAAGUCUGUCUGGUUUUAUCUCCCUAUUUUUCUUCAUGACUCUGACUUAAUUAUCAUAGACCCCCAAGGAUGCCUAAAUGCCUCAAGGACACCAUUUUAAAUGGAUGAUCAAACCCAACUUCCUACUUCUCUGUGAGAGGCACAUUUCUAAUCUGGGAGUGAGUAGUACAAUCACUCUGUCCAGACGGAGUAACACCGGUUUCCUAUAGCAAAAGCCUAGGUCCUUGGAAAACCACUGACUGCUUCAUGAAUUCCUUGGACAUUAAUUGGUGAAGUAACUAAGAAAAAUGCACCCCACACAAAGUUUAUUGUGGACCCCUCCUCAUUCUCCCAUGCAGCAAAAACAACUAAGCUUCUUUUCCCUUUGAGCAGGACAGUGGGUUUGGCUGUGCCAGGAUGAGUCUCCCGGGGGUAGAGAAAGCCUGAGUAUUUUUCUCUGGUGCUAAAUUUACCUGACUCCAGGGCAGAUGCCUCCAAGUCAUAGGCAAGGGGGUUAACACACUUGGAUGCUCCUAAAGGGACUUUGUCCAGCCUGCUGUGAGGUCUUUCCACCUUCUCAUGUUUCUAACAUGACCAUAAAAUCAAAUCUAAAUGCAAACAUUAAAAUGCAAGGCACUAUGACUAGGUCUAGGGUAGUCAUUCAAGUGAUGUGGAGCAGGCUUAUGUUUUUUUCUCCCUCCAGAUUAUCAUAGACAUGGGAACACAACAUUUAAACGCCCUGGUAGAAUUUCAAAAGUAUGUCUAGAGAUCCUAAUGGAGUCACAAACCCCAGAUUAUGACACACAUCAAGUUCAAGGGUCUAGAAACUUUUUCUGGAAAAGGUCAGAUAGUAAAUAAUUUAGACUUUGGGGGCCAUAUGGUCUUUGUUCUAACCAAUUCUACCAGCAUGCAAGCAGCCAUAGGCAUUUGGUAAGCAAAUGGGGCACAGAAUUUUUUAUUUCUUGUAGAGACAGGGUCUUGCUAUGUUGCCCAGCCAUGUUCCAAUAAAACUUUAUUAACAAACACAAGCACUGGAUUUGGCCUGAAGGCCAUAGUUUGCCAAUCCCUACUCUACUUACUGUGUGAAUAAUAAGAUGGGAAGACCUCCUGACUAUCAGCUCUGUAUUCUUCCAAUUUUCAGUUUGUGUUUGGUUCACAUCUUCAAUGUAUGUCUUUAUCAUGGGAUUUAGAAAGUGGAUGUUCAUUCAACCAGGCAUAUAAGAUUUUUCGUUGCCUACAGUUCUGCUCUUAAUUAGCCCUAUCUCCAUUAAGUAUGACUCAAGACUACAUUUCUUGAUAACGUAGAUGAAAUUGGUUAAGAAAAUUAAAAACUGGAAAGAGACAGGCAAUACAAAUCAGUUUUCAAGAAUUUGUGAUGAGCAAUUGAAUCCAGCCUUUUCUUUGAGAUGUGAGCAGACUCUGUUUUGAAUGGCUUCUCUGCGGAUAAGUAGACUUGAAAGCAGGGAAGCUGUCUGAUGCAGCAGAGAGGUUGUGAUGUUGAGGUAAUUAUUGAUGCCACCAAUAUCUGCCUGUGUGACCUUUCCUUGCACAAGUUAUUUAAUUUCCCUGGGAUUUGGUUUCCCCUUAUAUAAAGUAAGGGAUUUGGAUUAGAUGAAUUGGAUUAGAUGAGUCCUAAAUCUGCUCAAGCUUUGAACAUUUAAAAUUUUGUAUCAAGCAAUCUAUGCUGAGAGCUUUACAACAUAUCAGAAAGCAAGCGAUUUAGAGAGAGUUCUGCCUCUUGUGAAGCUCAAAUGCACAUCCUACGAAGGCUUCUCACUUUGGUUUUCCCUAAAACCAGGACAUUUUAGUCAUCUUAGGAAUCUCAAUUAUUAUGAAAAGUUUCCCAACUUAACAGGGACAGAUUUUCAUAAACAUAGAAGGGUGGGGGUGUCAGAAAACUUUACUAACAGAAGGUACUUCAAAUGGAGAAAUAUAGUGGGUGUUUUAGUCAAGGUUAUCCAGGAAAACAGAACCAAUAGAAUAUAUAGAGAGAGACAUAUAUAAGAAGAGAUGUAGAAAUUGGUUCAUGCAAUUAUGGAGACCAAGAAGCUCCGUGAUCUACCACUGCAAGCUGAAGACCAGGAAAGCUGGUGGCAUAACUCAGUCAGAAGGCCUGAGAGUAGGGGGCGAGGAGGUGAGAAAGAGGAUGGUAAUAGUGUAAGUCCCUGUCUGAGUCCAAAAGACGGAUGUCUCAGCUCAAGCAGAGAGAGCAAAUUGGCCCCUUCUUCACCUUUUUGUUCUAUUCAGGCCCUCAAAUAAUUGGAAAAUGCCCAGGCAUGGUGGAGGGCCAUCUGCUUUAUUUUGUUCACCAAGUCAAAUGCUAAUUUCUUCCCAAAAUACCCUCACCGACUCACCAGGAAUAAUGUUUUACCAGCUAUCUGGGCAUCCCUUAGCCCAGUCAAGUUAACACACAAAAUUAACCAUCAUGGUGGAAGGAUGGAGGCAUCACCCUACAGCCAUAGUUCUGAAUCCUGUUUUGGUUUGUACCAGUCUCCAAUGGUUCAUUAACAGUAAAUACUAUGGCAAAUAUGCAAUGAAGAUUUUUUCAUUAAAUAUUUAAAUUUUAGCAUGGCAUUUGAUUUAUACUUUUCAAUUGAUUGGUCCUUCACAACCAUGGAUUCAUAGUUUAAAAUGAGGUCAUGUCAAAAUGGAAGAAUAGUGACUAUGGUAAACACAAUGACUCAGACUAAUCCAAGGAUUCAUAUUGACAAGUGGGCUAUAAAAAUGUAGAUACAUCAGCCUACCAUUUAGCCCAAUAUUAGCAAUUUAGUUUCAGCAAAACAUCACCUAACACAUGAAAUCAGUGUUGUUAACUUGAAUGUUAUUGUUGGUGUUGUCUUGUUUGUAUUUAAUUAGUGCAUUUUUAAUGGUUCUAUAAUAAACAUAACCAUAAGAAAUGUAUGGCUACUUUCAUAUUUGUGCAUUUUUAUGUAAUGCUAUAAUAAAAAUAAUUUAAAUCAAAA
rnacentral:lncRNA from 1 species